rnacentral:lncRNA from 1 species
GAUAUUCUCUUUAUAAAUAGAGCUAUGAAGAGAUUUAAAGGAUGUUAGGCUGCUUUGAAGGUGUAAGACCCCUUCCUUUCCUACCCAUCCUCCUCACUCCCUAGCUGGUCCCAGUGGCUCUCUCUCUCGGCAGAUUUGGUCUGUGUGUCCAUGUACUGGAGAGUCAGUGGGCGCUCAUUUCUCAGAGUUAUGAUGUCCUUGGCCUGGCCUGCUUUUACUCUGCUUGCUUAGAUCUGCUGCUCUAUGGAAAAGGAUUGCUGUGUCGGCCCUUUAGUGAGUGUCUGCGUUUCGUUCAAGUCUACGAGCACAGCCGUGUUCUAACCUCUCAGAGCAAUGUCAUGCUGGGGGUCCACUCCUCCCUGGCCAUGUGUACUGUAAGGAGUUCUUCUCUCAAUGUGUGACCUGCCCUGUCUAUCACCAGUGGGUAUCUGAGCUUAAGGCCUCUGUAAUGAGAUGUGAAAAGAGAGAAUUGAUGUCCCUGACUAACAGCAUCAGACCUUUUGACACCUGCUUGACCAGGAUUUGGAUAAAAGGAGAAUUUCUGCAGGAAAAUAACUCUUAGAAAAGAAACUUAGGAAUACAGAGAUUUGACAGAGUGGCUGAUGUCAAGGAGAACAAGGAUGCAGAAGAAACUCAAGAUGUAUGUAUUAAAACAAAAGAACAAUAACCUGAAGGGACCAUGAUUCUGUUAUUGUAUAUAACACAAGGAAAUGCCCCAGAUUCUCCUUUAAAAGAUAUAAUGUACAUAUUAA